rnacentral:rRNA from 1 species
GACGAACGCUGGCGGCGUGCUUAACACAUGCAAGUCGAACGAAGUGGCGAACGGGUGAGUAACGCGUCAUCAACCUGCCCUUCAGAGGGGGACAACAGUUGGAAACGACUGCUAAUACCGCAUACUGAAGGAGGGGAUUGCGUCGGAUGAGCUAGGUGGAGGGGUAACGGCCCAACAAGGCGAUGAUCAGUAGCCGGUCUGGGAGGAUGAACGGCCACAUUGGGACUGGGACACGGCCCAGACUCCUACGGGAGGCAGCAGUGGGGAAUCUUCCGCAAUGGACGAAAGGCUGACGGAGCAACGCCGCGUGAGUGAUGACGGCCUUCGGGUUGGAAAGCUCUGUUAAUCGGGACGCGGUACCGGAAUAGAAAGCCACGGCUAACUACGUGCCAGCAGCCGCGGUAAUAC